UACGUAGGGUGCAAGCGUUGUCCGGAAUUAUUGGGCGUAAAGAGCUCGUAGGCGGUUUGUCGCGUCUGCUGUGAAAACUCGGGGCUUAACCCCGGGCCUGCAGUGGGUACGGGCAGACUAGAGUGUGGUAGGGGAGACUGGAAUUCCCGGUGUAGCGGUGAAAUGCGCAGAUAUCGGGAAGAACACCCGUGGCGAAGGCGGCUCUCUGGGACGGUACUGACGGCUGAGACGCGAAAGCGUGGGGAGCGAACAGG
rnacentral:rRNA from 1 species